ACUUCUUUUCCCAUUGUCUAGCCUUCCUCCCUUUUGUCCGCAUCUUCUUCCUCAUAAACGCUAUAGGUACUCUCAACCUAUCAGGAGAUUGAGCUUGAUUGCAAAGGUUUUGGUAGCUGUACCACUGGGACUUGUUACUGGAUAUCGAAUCGCUUAUGCGAUUAGUGAUGAUGGUUUACAAGAGCUUAUACGAUACGAAAAGUCCAUUAUCUCUCAUCGGGAAGAGGCCUUGGAAAGCAUUAGGAAACUUCAGGAGAAGUUGAAUGAGUUGGAGGAAUUGAAACAACAACAAUCUCAAGGAAGCGAAUGAAAUCGGCCUCUAAGUCAUCGUUGAGAAAUCUGUAGUAGGAAAACUUUUUUGGGAUUUGUAAUAAACCAAGGAAAAAAUCCCAUUACUCUAAUUUUGUUUUAGAUGAAUCUUUAAGAUUGGAAUCCGAUGUCUUAUG